UCCAGACUCCUACGGGAGGCAGCAGUGGGGGAUAUUGCACAAUGGGGGAAACCCUGAUGCAGCGACGCCGCGUGAGUGAAGAAGUAUUUCGGUAUGUAAAGCUCUAUCAGCAGGGAAGAAGAUGACAGUACCUGAGUAAGAAGCCCCGGCUAACUACGUGCCAGCAGCCGCGGUAAUACGUAGGGGGCAAGCGUUAUCCGGAUUUACUGGGUGUAAAGGGAGCGUAGACGGUUAUGUAAGUCUGGAGUGAAAGCCCGGGGCCCAACCCCGGGACUGCUUUGGAAACUGUGUAACUAGAGUGCAGGAGGGGCAGGCGGAAUUCCUGGUGUAGCGGUGAAAUGCGUAGAUAUCAGGAGGAACACCGGCGGCGAAGGCGGCCUGCUGGACUGAAACUGACGUUGAGGCUCGAAAGCGUGGGGAGCAAACAGGAUUAGAUACCCUGGUAGU
rnacentral:rRNA from 1 species